GAUGAACGCUGGCGGCGUGCUUAACACAUGCAAGUCGAACGGGAUCCCAGGGGUGCUUGCCCUUUUUGGUGAGAGUGGCGAACGGGUGAGUAACACGUGAGUAACCUGUCCUUUUCUUUGGGAUAAGCAUUCGAAAGGGUGUUUAAUACCUUAUGUUCUGUCUGCCUCGCAUGGGGUGGGUGGGAAAGGCUUUGGCCGGAUUUGGGUGGGCUCGCGGUCUAUCAGCUUGUUGGUGGGGUGAUGGCUUACCAAGGCUUUGACGGGUAGCCGGCCUGAGAGGGCGGUCGGUCACAUGGGGACUCAGGUCCCCUCCAGGAGGCUGCGGGAGGCAGCAGUGGGGGAUAGUGGAAAAUGGGCGACAGCCUUAUGGCGCGACUCCGGGAGGGGGAUGAAGGGUUUCGCGUUGUUAUCUUCUAUGGCUCUGAACAAGGUAUGCCAGUGGGUGUGUGACGUGUCGGGGUGGAUAAGCGCCGGCUAACUACGUG
rnacentral:rRNA from 1 species